rfam:Pseudomassariella vexata strain CBS 129021 BCR38scaffold_1, whole genome shotgun sequence.
ACAUACGAUCAUAGGUUGUAGAGAACUCGGGAUCCCGUCCGCUCUCCUGUAGAUAAGCUGCAAACCGCUGGACUAGUAGUUGGAUGGGUGACCACCAGCAAAUCCCCAGUGUUGUAUGUU